UACAGAGGGUGCAAGCGUUAAUCGGAAUUACUGGGCGUAAAGGGCUCGUAGGUUGUUAAUUAAGUCAGAUGUGAAAUCCCUGGGCUCAACCUAGGAAUUGCAUAUGAUACUGAUUGGCUAGAGUAUAGUAGAGGGAAGUGGAAUUUCUGGUGUAGCGGUGAAAUGCGUAGAUAUCAGAAGGAACAUCAGUGGCGAAGGCGACUUCCUGGACUAAUACUGACACUGAGGAGCGAAAGCGUGGGGAUCAAACAGG
rnacentral:rRNA from 1 species